rnacentral:tRNA from 1 species
GGGCUCAUAGCUCAGCUUGGUAGAGCGGCUGACUCUUAAUCAGUAGGUCGGGGGUCCA